GGGUUUUAUUCUUGAAUUCUUGGGGUUCUUUAAUAUGCUGAAUCUAACCGUGUAUUAAGUUUUUGGAUUUUGGGCCCCGUUUUUAAAUUGGUCCACAUUGAGGUCCAAAGGGUCCAAAAUUUAACUUUGUUUGAUUUCAUCAAAAAUUGAAUUAUUGGGGUUCUUUGAUAUGCCGAAUCUAACCGUGUAUUUAGAUUCUUAAUUUUUGGUUCCGUUUUCAAAUUGGUCUACAUUAAGGUCCAAAGGGUCCAAAAUUAAACUUAGUUUGAUUUUAACAAAAAUUGAAUUUUUAGGGUUCUUUGAUAUGCUGAAUCUAAACAUGUAUUUAGAUUUUUGAUUAUGGGCCCAGUUUUCAAGUUGGUCCAAAUCGGGGUCCAAAAUUAAACUUUGUUUGAUUUCAACAAAAAUUGAAUAUAUGGGGUUCUUUGAUAUGCUGAAUCUAACCAUGUAUUUAGAUUUUUGAUUUUUGGGCCCCGUUAUCAACUUUGUCCACAUUGAGGUCAAA